rnacentral:tRNA from 1 species
GCCUUCGUGGUGUAAUGGUCAGCACGCUCGGCGCGUAUUCGAGAGGUCCGUGGUUCGAGUCCUGGCGAGUGCA